rnacentral:rRNA from 1 species
UUCCGUAGGGUGAACCUGCGGAAGGAUCAUUACCUAGAGUUGUAGGCUUUGCCUGCUAUCUCUUACCCAUGUCUUUUGAGUACCUUACGUUUCCUCGGUGGGUUCGCCCACCGAUUGGACAAAUUUAAACCCUUUGCAGUUGAAAUCAGCGUCUGAAAAAACUUAAUAGUUACAACUUUCAACAACGGAUCUCUUGGUUCUGGCAUCGAUGAAGAACGCAGCGAAAUGCGAUAAGUAGUGUGAAUUGCAGAAUUCAGUGAAUCAUCGAAUCUUUGAACGCACAUUGCGCCCCUUGGUAUUCCAUGGGGCAUGCCUGUUCGAGCGUCAUUUGUACCUUCAAGCUCUGCUUGGUGUUGGGUGUUUGUCUCCUGUAGACUCGCCUCAAAACAAUUGGCAGCCGGCGUAUUGAUUUCGGAGCGCAGUACAUCUCGCGCUUUGCACUCAUAACGACGACAUCCAAAAGUACAUUUUUACACUCUGACCUCGGAUCAGGUAGU